rnacentral:rRNA from 1 species
UACAGAGGGUGCGAGCGUUGUCCGGAAUUACUGGGCGUAAAGGGUGCGCAGGCGGUUAUAUAAGACAGAUGUGAAAUCCCCGGGCUCAACCUGGGAACUGCGUUUUGUGACUGUAUGACUAGAGUACGGUAGAGAGGGGUGGAAUUCCUGGUGUAGCAGUGAAAUGCGUAGAUAUCAGGAGGAACAUCGAUGGCGAAGGCAGCCCCUUGGACCUGUACUGACGCUCAUGCACGAAAGCGUGGGGAGCAACAGG